ensembl:lncRNA
CUCUAUUAACAGUAUGUCAGUUGAAACCAGAACACUGCCUCUCAUACUUUUAUAUGUGACACAGCUGGGACACAGCUAAAAUCCAGUAGACAGGAGAACUCUUGAUGUACCAGAUGGAAAACUUGGAGACAUAAUUAAGGAGUAAACAGUAUCCAGAAACUCAAAUCAGACCAAGUAACUUCUUAAGAGUUUUGGAAUACAAACAGGACUCAGUGGAACACGCACAUGAGAAGAGCACAGUAGCCUGGCAUUCAAAUAGAACAGUUGAUGCUCAUUCACAGACUGCUCCAUCUUCACUUUUAAGACUUUAAAUGUAUGAGAAGCUGACUGACUUAGAUGACAGUAAGGUGAGUCUUCUAUAUGCUGCUCCUUGAGUUGAAAUGCUAGUACAUAUGCAGCAAAGAAAACAACUUGCAACCAUCUUUCCCAGUGACAGCAUAUUUCAAAGACGGUUAAAGGACAAAUGAGAGAUUCAAAAUUAGCAGCAAUGUAUAAUAAUGAGUGUGGCUCUCUGCCCAGAUUUCUGCCAUAAACUUAAUUGAUUUUGGUAGUUAUAAUAACACUUUGCAACUAUAGCACUUUCACUGCCAUUUUGAGUGGAAUAAGAAAACACAUUCUCUCUCUCACGUACACAAAAAAGAAUUACUGGUGGAGGCACAUAUUCAUGCACACAUCUGUGUGCACGUGUAUGUGUGUAUAUGUGUGCAUGGAGAAGCAUACAAUGAUACAGGUACAGACAUUCCUAAAAUUCUACUGACAGAGUUGAAGUACACUCCAGGAUAGAUGUAAGAUCAGUAUCCAAGAACGUACUGAGGUACACUCUGUUCCCAUCCUGCAGCUUUUGCUCCCACCUGUUACCUCAGCUCAGUCAUUAAUCUCAUUGUUCUGAAUGUGUGCAAAUAUUGUAAACAGGCAGCUAAGGAAGGAAUGUUCCCCAGUCUCCCCUAGGCUAAUUAGAACAGGUAUGUGAAUACUGAGAACAAUACAGUAAAUGAAAUGGCUGUACACACAAACAAAGCAAAAGCUUAAAAUGAAUGUAGUGGCAGCUGUGUUUGCAAUUGUGAUAUUCACAGAUGUUCUAACAUAACAUCACAGAAAUCAAGAAACUAAUCAUUAAACAAUUGUUUUAAGAGUGAAAACAUCAUUUAAAAUUAUUUAUUAAAUACUAUUAAAUCAGAGAACAACACAGUACAGAAAAAUAAAGAGUGGAAAAUGAGUAUAGAACAAUAGAAAAGAGAAAAAGGUUAAUAUACAUGUGACACAGUUACAUGGGUUCAAUGUUUCAGUUGCUUCUGUUCAUUGUUUUGACAUCCACGUGUUUCUAAUCUAAGCACGGUUAAUGUUUCAGAAAAUUCUGGUUGAGACAAUCAAAGAAGAAUAGUUUAGUGCAUGGGUACAAUAACACUUUAAAUAUAUCCAUCUCCCUCACAAAAAUAAUAAAUAUCUUUUCAUCACUGAGGCCCUGUAUCUACCUAAUUAAAAAAAAAGAAAAAAAAAAAGAAAAAGAAAGUAAGUCAUAUGCUUUUCUAUUUUACAGGUGCUGUUCUAUACAGAAUGGUCAUAGAAGCUCAAUGAGGAAACUAAUAUUAGAUUACAAAAUUUUGUCUUUUAAAAAUGAGAUGAAUGACACCUUCAUUUCAAACUUUCAAAACUGACAUUGUUAACUGAAUCAGUUACAGACAAGUGAGCAAUUACUACAGAGAAACAGUAGGAGUGAAUUUACCAUCCACACAGUGAAAAAAGGAAAAAUAUAAUAUACAUCAGUCUAUGUAUCUGCCCUGUAGGAUUUUUCUAAUAAACCUUUUUUUUUUUUUUUUUUUCCAGUUCUCUUAGAAAGUCAAGUCCUGAAAAUUCUAAAUGACUAAUAUGUUAAUAAAGUACAUCCUUCAUCUUUAAGGAUCUUUAUUUUACGUGCAAAUAAAAACUUUGCUCUGCUUUCUUUGAAUGCAAUUCGUACCCCUUUCCAAAAUGAAAAAUGACUGAACAGAACUCAAAAUUUUUAUAACAGUAUGCAAAUUAAAUAUUUUGGCUGUUUUCCAAUACCUUAAAAAUUACAUUUUGGAAGGAAUGCUUUUCCAAUGAAAGGAUUAUAAGUAAUUUUCAGUAAAAAAAAAAAAAAAAAAAAAAGGAAUCUUGGUGAGCUAGGGCAUUCACUGCAUGUAUACUGCAUUGACAGUUUUCAGUGAUUUCAGGUUUUCUUACAGAAAGUAUUUUCUACUAAAUUUUAUUUUUCUCCCUUUCAACAGCUUUUGAAAUACCAUUAUCAAUUUAGUAUUUUCUGGAUGAGAAAAAAUGUGUAAAAGGAAAAUAUAAUUCACAGUAUCUAGUUUCUCUCUAGAUUUUCAAGUUUUUGAUGCUGAAUUCCAGAAUAAAGGAAUAACUCAAGAACAGGAAGAACCAAAAAUAAUUUUAGCUUUGAAGAGUUUAAUUUACAGGAAAAGGAGGUUUUGAGUCAGACUCAUAUCUGAUGUUGUUUUAUAAAAAAUGUAUCCAUUCCAGAUUUUGCAAAACAUAUUCUCAUGUCAAAGUGCAUUCUUUAAUCUGCAUUUAUAAGUAAUGAUUUUGUUUAAUUAUACAGAGCAGGAGUUGUACAUUACCAUACUGAAUAUGUCAUUAGAAUAGUUUUUAUUCUAAGUUAUUUUUUAAUGGCAUUUGGUUGCUUAAGUGUAAAAAAUGAGAAUACAAAUAUAACACAUCCUUUUUUUCUACAUUAUCAUGAUGACUGCUAAAUUAAUAUAAAUAAUUAAUUUAUACAGAAAGUUAUCCAUAAGCAGCAUAUAAACAAUGCUGCCACUGAUGCUUAAUUGAAAAAGAGAGAUGCAAACAAUUCUUUGAUCUUUGCCAAAGAGAAGACUCAAGAAAACGGAUCCACUUCCUAUGACAGAAAGAAGUCAACCAAACAACGAAUCACAAAGAAGAGAGGGACCACAAGCAAAUUAAUAAACAAAAAAAACCAAGAGAUCAAAAUUAUUCUGGCACCUGUAAAAUCACUCUGGCAAGGGAUCUGAAUAUGAGUGCAGAAAGAAGCAAAACAGAAGAAAUCAGUAUCUUAUGAAACAUGAAAAAUAAGAAAGUUGAGAGUUGAAGGACUCCUAUGAAAAUAAUUCCUUGCUAUUAUUUAUUUGUUUUUCUAGAUUUUGUAUUACUUGCUCUUUGUAAAAAUUACAGUAGUAAACAUAGUAAGAAAUUAAUCAUUGUUAGGGCAAUAUUUAUAUAAAUUUGACAGAGUAGCUUAGGUAAAGACCAGAAUAUAUUUUACUGAGAUUAAGUACUAAUACGAUAAUUGUAGUUUUUAGGCACUUCAGGAAGUUUAAAGUUCUAGCUGGAGGAUGAUUAAUUCAGCCCCUAGCUAACAAGGUACAGUUUCCUUAGUGUCUCUGAACAUCAUAGUCCAGCAGAGGUGAGAACAAAAGUAGAUUCAAUUUCAAAGCCACUUUAUGAGAAGUGACUUCUACUUAAAAAUAUCUUGGUAAACUGAGAGGUUAUUACAUAAAUCCUCACUAUGCCAGUGUCUUGUACUUGGAAGACUAGAACCACAUAAACUUCCUUCACACAUAUUCAGUAAGGCAGCAUGCUACAGGAGAAAAAAAAUCUGAUUUGGUAUCAAUCUUCAGCUUCCAUUCUUUCAGCUUCAGGUAUUUAGACAUGUUGAACUGAGGUGCCCUGCAGAAGUUAAAUGAAAAGACAAAUGUGGAUAGGUUGUUCAGCAAUACAGGUGAAAGGCUACACUUUAAUUUGGCAAAAUAUGUUUAAAUUAGGCCUUAUAAUAGGUAGGUUCCCCAUUAUUUUGUGCCAUUAACUUGGUUUUAGAGAAUACUUUAAAACGCCUUUACUUGUUAAAUCUUUCACAGCCAGCUGAUUGUCUCCCUAACAGAAAAUGAGAAGAAAAAUGUCAAGAAGAGCAAGGAUUAUCUUAACCUUGUACUACACUGAUCAGAACUCUGCUCGAAGUCAAUGAUUGCAAAACUUGUUCAGAAUAACCUGAUGAUUCAGUCUCCCAGAAUGCUAAUCUUCGAAAUCAUUGCAGCAAGAGACAAGAGGUUUAAAGCCACAUUCAAUUGUAAUGAGAUCCGUCAUUAAAGGCAGAUCACAGUCCAUUGACAUGCCUAACUUGUAAUUACUUUUACUUUAAUAUUUUCAUUAGCACAAGAAUUUAGAAUCAUUAUUCUGUCUUUAUAUUUUGCCUAUUAUUUUCAUUUUAUUCUAAUAACAAACUUGUUAAUAAAGCUCUCAGUUUUCUGC